GUCCUAUUUAGACAACCUGGUGAACUGGUUUGGUUGGUAUGUCAGUACUUGCAAGAACUUGAAAACAUUUUGUGGGCUGACAUGCAUUCUGUAACUCACGACUGCUUCUUCAACUAAAAACUUCAACCUGGACUAAGCCCAUAAGAUUGUCUUAAGAUAUUUUCAGCAACGUCAUGCAGGAACUUCUCCUUAGGCUGCUGAGCGAUAAAGAUCUAGAGGUCAACAUCCUUGCCAGUCCAUACCAGAUACAGGGUAGAUGGAGCCAGACAUGGAUUUAACUAAGUACAACACAACUGUAAAGAGGAGGGGAGGCGAGACCAAGAGCAUGAAAUAUCUUACAGGCCCAAGCUCUUGGACUGCCAACACACCUGCUGCUCUGUGUGCUUGACCCAGAUGAAGAUGAGCCUGAGUGAGCUGCGCUGCCCCUGGUGUCGCUCUGUCACCACCCUGCCACCUGGGGUCUCCAUCUCCCAGCUCCCAGAUGACCCCGACAUUAUGGCCGUCAUCUCUGUCCCAUCCCCCCCAGAAUACACACCUGUCUUCUUCAAACAGCUGCUUAGUAACACCUGCUACCUGUCUAUAGACCACCAAGAGAGGGCCACAGUGUCUGGUGAACAUUCAGGUAGGCACCUGCAGGCUGGGCAGACACAGGAGAUGUCUCCAGUGCCUGUGUCUGACGAGGGAAGCCCAGGGUUGGGGGAGGAACAUGGGGAGAGGGAGGAAGGUUGUUGUAAGAGCUCGUUCACGACCAGGGCAGGCUUAGUGGUUCUUCUGGGUUUUGUUCUACUCUUACUUGUGUACAUUGUACUGUACAACAUGAAAUGCAUUUACAAACGGUUCACCAUGAUAUCCUGUGCCUAAAAGACUGGAUACUAAUAAGCUGUUUGGAAUCUUUCUAUCUCACUCCCAAAAAUGACUGGACAUUGUCACAAUGCCAGUAUUCAGGCUAUUUCUUAACCAGAGAUAGUGCUGUCAUACUGAGGGAAGAAAUGGUUGUUAUACUUUGUUUUAGGAAUGUGUACAGUUAUAAUGAUGAAUUUGAAUUUUUCAAAGGAUUUUUCAUAUUGUUGUGCAAUUAAAACAAUAUAACCAAUCACCAUCA